GUCUAUGGCCGUACCACCCUAAAAGUGCCUGAUCUUUUCUGAUCUUAGAAACUAAGCAGGCUUGAGUCUGGUCAGUACUUGGAUGGGAGAUACCUAUUUCAUAUGUC
rfam:Papio anubis isolate 1X1155 chromosome 2, whole genome shotgun sequence.